CCUUUUAAUUCAGGAGAGUUUGAUCCUGGCUCAGGACGAACCCUGGCGGCGUGCCUAACACAUGCAAGUCGAGCGGAGACAUGCGACGGAAUUGAAGUUUUCGGAUGGAAAUGAAGAUGUAUGUUUUAGCGGCGGACGGGUGAGUAACGCGUGAGCAACCUGUCCUUCACAGGGGGAUAACACAGCGAAAGUUGUACUAAUACCGCAUAAGACCACGGGGAGACAUCUUCCAGGGGUCAAAGGAGCAAUCCGGUGAAGGGUGGGCUCGCGUCCGAUUAGAUAGUUGGUGAGGUAACGGCCCACCAAGUCAACGAUCGGUAGCCGACCUGAGAGGGUGAUCGGCCACAUUGGGACUGAGACACGGCCCAAACUCCUACGGGAGGCAGCAGUGGGGAAUAUUGGGCAAUGGGGGGAACCCUGACCCAGCAACGCCGCGUGAGGGAAGAAGGUUUUCGGAUCGUAAACCUCUGUCCUUGGUGAAGAGGAAGAGACGGUAGCCAAGGAGGAAGCCCCGGCUAACUACGUGCCAGCAGCCGCGGUAAUACGUAGGGGGCAAGCGUUGUCCGGAAUGAUUGGGCGUAAAGGGCGCGUAGGCGGCCCGGUAAGUCUGGAGUGAAAGUCCUGGUUUUAAGUUGGGAAUUGCUUUGGAUACUGUCGGGCUUGAGUGCAGGAGAGGUAAGUGGAAUUCCCAGUGUAGCGGUGAAAUGCGUAGAGAUUGGGAGGAACACCAGUGGCGAAGGCGACUUACUGGACUGUAACUGACGCUGAGGCGCGAAAGUGUGGGGAGCAAACAGGAUUAGAUACCCUGGUAGCCU
rnacentral:rRNA from 1 species